AGCUGAGGAAAAGGGACCAACUGGGAUUACCUUAGUAACGGCGAGUGAAGCGGUAAAAGCUCAAAUUUGAAAUCUGGUACUUUCAGUGCCCGAGUUGUAAUUUGUAGAAUUUGUCUUUGAUUAGGUCCUUGUCUAUGUUCCUUGGAACAGGACGUCAUAGAGGGUGAGAAUCCCGUUUGGCGAGGAUACCUUUUCUCUGUAAGACUUUUUCGAAGAGUCGAGUUGUUUGGGAAUGCAGCUCAAAGUGGGUGGUAAAUUCCAUCUAAAGCUAAAUAUUGGCGAGAGACCGAUAGCGAACAAGUACAGUGAUGGAAAGAUGAAAAGAACUUUGAAAAGAGAGUGAAAAAGUACGUGAAAUUGUUGAAAGGGAAGGGCAUUUGAUCAGACAUGGUGUUUUUUGCAUGCACUCGCCUCUCGUGGGCUUGGGCCUCUCAAAAAUUUCACUGGGCCAACAUCAAUUCUGGCAGUAGGAUAAAUCAUUAAGAAUGUAGCUACCUCGGUAGUGUUAUAGCUUAUUGGAAUACUGCUAGCUGGGAUUGAGGACUGCGCUUCGGCAAGGAUGUUGGCAUAAUGGUUAAAUGCCGCCCGUCUUAA
rnacentral:rRNA from 1 species